AUAAUACUCCCUCCGUCUGGAAAUACUUGUCCUCAAAAUGGUUGUGUCUAGACUUAUUUUAGUUAUAGAUACAUCCAUUUUGAAGACAAGUAUUUCCGGACGGAGGGAGUAUUGG
rnacentral:pre_miRNA from 1 species